AACAGUAGAGGUCAGCCACCUGGAGAUUGGAGAAAAAACACAACAAUUACCAUUAAAUUCACCGCACUGAGAGCUGAAAUGUGGGGCUGAUACACAGAAAUUUGGGGUUCAGGUUUCACAUUUUCAGGCGUUUUUUCCAGGUGGAGCCUCCAGGACGGUGCACUCCUCACUGCUGCUAUCUGGGGAGUGUUGAUGGGCCUCCAUCUGCGGGGGGGCAGCCUGGUGGGGAUGAACCUCCGAUCACACCCCGUAUUCCAAGCUUUGGCCAGGCGGAGAGGGGCCGGACGUUCGAAUAAAAACGUAACCAUAUUCGGAGGAGCUGGGGGUGUGGCCUGAACUGAGAGCUUGAUGACACUGCACGUCCACCUACACCUAUGACCUGCACCUAUUGGAUGGACCAGCUUUCGAUCACACAAGGAAACAAAGAAAACAUACUCAACACAUUGGAGUCUGUGUAAAAAUCAAUAAAUGUUUUAAAAACUUUUAAUGUUAUUUAUUACUCGUAUAGUAUAAUGAUAAUAAAAACAAAUUUAAAUAUAUAUUUUUUUCUAUAUUGUAAGAUUUUAUAAAAUAUUUUUCAACAUUUUCUUUCUUGCUUUUAUUUUAAUCAAUACUGAACAUAUUUUUUAUAUUUAAUUUUUCUUUCACAAAUUUUUACGUUGAAUAAACGACUCUACAAUUUCAAAAAAUGUAUGUUGAAAAAAAAAAUACCAAUAUAUUAAAAUCAUUUUA